UACGGAAUGUGCAAACGUUAUUCGGAAUCACUGGGCUUAAAGAGUCCGUAGGCGGCUUGUUAGGUGAGGUGUGAAAUCCCCCGGCUCAACCGAGGAAUUGCGCUUCAAACCGGCAAGCUUGAGGAGGAUAGAGGUGGGCGGAACUGAUGGUGGAGCGGUGAAAUGCGUUGAUAUCAUCCAGAACACCGAUAGCGAAGGCAGCUUACUAAAGAGUAACUGACGCUGAGGCACGAAAGUGUGGGGAUCAAACAGG
rnacentral:rRNA from 1 species